UGAGAACCUAAAGUGCUUUGUCAUUUAUGUUGGAAGCCAACUUGAAGAAGAAAUGAAGCAGAUUAUCAACAUCUUACCAAAGGAGUUGGUAGUAGCAACGG